rnacentral:tRNA from 1 species
GGGGAUGUAGCUCAGCGGAAGAGAGUGUUUGUUGGUUGUAUGAGGACCUGGGUUCAAUCUCCAGCAUCUCCA